rnacentral:rRNA from 1 species
CCUACGGGAGGCAGCAGUGGGGAAUAUUGGACAAUGGGCGCAAGCCUGAUCCAGCAAUGCCGCGUGAGUGAUGAAGGCCUUAGGGUCGUAAAGCUCUUUUACCAGGGAUGAUAAUGACAGUACCUGGAGAAUAAGCUCCGGCUAACUCCGUGCCAGCAGCCGCGGUAAUACGGAGGGAGCUAGCGUUGUUCGGAAUUACUGGGCGUAAAGCGUACGUAGGCGGUUAUUCAAGUCAGAGGUGAAAGCCCGGGGCUCAACCCCGGAACGGCCUUUGAAACUAGGUAGCUAGAAUCUUGGAGAGGUCAGUGGAAUUCCGAGUGUAGAGGUGAAAUUCGUAGAUAUUCGGAAGAACACCAGUGGCGAAGGCGACUGACUGGACAAGUAUUGACGCUGAGGUACGAAAGCGUGGGGAGCAAACAGGAUUAGAUACCCUGGUAGUCCACGCCGUAAACGAUGAUAACUAGCUGUUCGGGCACUUGGUGCUUGAGUGGCGCAGCUAACGCAUUAAGUUAUCCGCCUGGGGAGUACGGUCGCAAGAUUAAAAACUCAAAAUGAAAUGACGG